GAGUUUGAUCGUGGCUCAGGAUGAACGCUGGCGGCGUGCCUAACACAUGCAAGUCGAACGGAGUUCUUAAGGAAUGCGGCUUCGGCCAAAUGACUUUUGAACUUAGUGGCGGACGGGUGAGUAACGCGUGAGCAACCUGCCUUUCAGAGGGGGAGUAACAUUUGGUAAACAGAUGCUAAUAACCGCAUAAGAUUACAGUACCGCAUGAUACAGUGAUCAAAGGAGCAAUCCGCUGAAAGAUGGGCUCGCGUCCGAUUAGAUAGUUGGUGAGGUAACGGCUCACCAAGUCGACGAUCGGUAGCCGGACUGAGAGGUUGAACGGCCACAUUGGGAC
rnacentral:rRNA from 1 species